rnacentral:rRNA from 1 species
UACGUAGGGCGCAAGCGUUGUCCGGAUUUAUUGGGCGUAAAGAGCUCGUAGGCGGUUUGUCGCGUCUGCUGUGAAAACUCGGGGCUUAACUCCGGGCCUGCAUUCGAUACGGGCAGGCUCGAGUUCGGUAGGGGAGACUGGAAUUCCUGGUGUAGCGGUGAAAUGCGCAGAUAUCAGGAGGAACACCGGUGGCGAAGGCGGGUCUCUGGGCCGAUACUGACGCUGAGGAGCGAAAGCGUGGGGAGCGAACAGG